rnacentral:rRNA from 1 species
ACCCGACCGCAUGAAGUCGGAUUCGCUAGUAACGGCGCAUCAGCUACGGCGCCGUGAAUACGUUCCCGGGCCUUGUACACACCGCCCGUCACAUCAUGAAAGCCGUCUGCACCCGAAGCCGCCGUCCCAACCCGCAAGGGAGGUGGGCGUCCAAGGUGUGGGUGGUGAUUGGGAUGAAGUCGUAACAAGGUAGCCGUUGGGGAACCAGCGGCUGGAUCACCUCCUUUCUAAGGAGCA